UACAGAGGGUGCAAGCGUUGCUCGGAAUCAUUGGGCGUAAAGGGUAGGUAGGUGGUCUCGUUUGUCUGGGGUGAAAGCCCAGGGCUUAACCCUGGAAGUGCCCCGGAAACGGCGAGACUGGAGUACUGGAGAGGGUCGUGGAAUUCCCGGUGUAGCGGUGAAAUGCGUAGAGAUCGGGAGGAACACCAGAGGCGAAGGCGGCGACCUGGACAGUUACUGACACUCAACUACGAAAGCGUGGGGAGCAAACAGG
rnacentral:rRNA from 1 species